AGAGAGAGACAUGCGCGCAUAUCAAUAAGCGGAGGAAAAGAAACUAACAAGGAUUCCCCUAGUAACGGCGAGUGAAGCGGGAAGAGCUCAAAUUUGAAAUCUUAAAGGGUUUCCCUUUACGAAUUGUAGUUUAAAGAAGUGUUUUCUGUUGAGGUUUUGGUAAAAGUUCUUUGGAAUAGGACAUCAUAGAGGGUGAGAAUCCCGUAUUUGACCUUUACUUUCAACUUUGUGAUACACUUUCAAAGAGUCGGAUUGUUUGGGAAUGCAGUCCAAAAUGGGUGGUAAAUUUCAUCUAAAGCUAAAUAUUGGCGAGAGACCGAUAGCGAACAAGUACCGUGAGGGAAAGAUGAAAAGAACUUUGAAAAGAGAGUUAAACAGUACGUGAAAUUGUCAAAAGGGAAGCGUUUGACACCAGUGUUGUUUUUCUGAAAAUCAAUUAAAGAACUGUUUAUGCUAAGUUGUUUAGACUUUAUCAGCUAACUGUUUAGUUUUGAGCUUUUCUUUAAUGCACUUUUCAGUUAACAAGUCAACAUCAAUUUCUUUUGCUGUAAAAAAGGCUUGAGGAAGGUGGCUUGAGAUUCGUCUUAAGUGUUUAUAGCCUCUUGCCUAUGCAGUCGGAGAGAUUGAGGUCUGCAGCGUAGAUCCUUCGGGGCUAAAUGCAUUUGUGCUAAGUUAUAGCAUUUUAUAGACAACUUGUUGACUAUGAUUUGUCUUGUAGCUUACUCGCUUAUGUUAUUUUACCUACGCUUAGGAUGUUGACGCAUGAGAUAUACGC
rnacentral:rRNA from 1 species